rnacentral:lncRNA from 1 species
UUGAAUAGAUCAGCACACAGCCCUGAACGUCUCGAAGUUGUAUUUGAAGUCGUUACGAAAAAAACUGUGAAAAGCAAUUAUACUUGGAACUCUAGUGUAAUACGUCUGUUUGGCUUCGACGCUGUCUAGUCACAUUACGCACAUCGUUCAUCGUCAAAAACACUGAGGGCUGACAGAGACGUCAGUUCUACGCUCACGUUGUUCUAUCCCAAACAAGUAUAAGUCUCUGCGGUUUGCGGUUCCGGUAAGACAAUGCGCAUCUUGAGGCGGGCAGUAACCGAGCGUUGUUUUGGCUCGCUUUAUCUUAUUUCCUACCGCCAUUUUAUUUUCAAAAGUAAUUAAGAAGCCUGCAGUUCUGGCUCAAUAUUCAGGACCGCACACAUAACACUGGUGCAUCAAUUUCUGGUGCCAAGUGUCAAAUAAUUGUGGUUUUCAAGCAGUAACUAUGAAGCGAUUGUUCACAACAGCCGCCGUUUCAAUGAAUAGUAUUCUAUUCUUUUCGGAUUGUAGCCGCCGAUUUCUACGUAACACAGCACAAACAACUUUAUUAUCCAUGUGCUUUUUUUCUUUAGCAAGAUCGUCAUUGUUCCAUCAAUUACGCUCAAUUGUCGAACGUGAAUGAAGAAUAAACGGAACGCAUUGAAUGGUACGUCUUCUCCGCUCGAUCAAAUGUUGAUGUGAAAGUCACGCGACGCUUACAUUUCCUCAAACGUUAUCAUAACAGAACAAAGAGGAGUUGCAGGUAUGUGUGUAAAACUUUCAUACAUUGAGGCACAUUGUGUAGGACAAAUAGUAUUACUAAAUAGAGCGUCUUGGCUAGUUUGCUUUGUCGAGUUGCAGAACCUUAUGACAAGCAGAAACCCGUUUUGACAAAUAAAUAAUUCUGUUUAUGCGUUCAACAAGUUUCCUUGGGGAUUAAUUCGGUUAUUACGCGGAGCGUAAAAGCCACUCCUUUAGUUAUAGUCUCACGGAGUAUCCUCUUUUGGUUAUAUGGAACGCGCUUAUAGGCAAAGAUAUCAGAGUUAUGAGGAUUCAGUUUAGGUGGACAGAACCGGGUCACUUAUAGAUACACCGUAAUUUAUUGUGCAAACUGAAAAAUCUUGAAAAAUGUGCUGAAGGUAGUCCCUCUAAAAGUGCUUUCUCUGCAAUAACAAUAGCACCAACAGCUCUGGAAGAUGUCAGGAAAAGUUACUUUGUUAGGCUUCGAUUUAGUAAACGUCUAUAUAAGUAGUAACUGGCCGGUUACUCGGCAAAACAUCAGACAGCGUUCGACAAGGACGUCGCCAACCACAUCAUUUUCAAGUCACCACUGGCCACUGCUAACAGCCGCAACGGUGUUGUCGAUAUUAUUUCUAUCAAAAAGACAAAAGCCUAUCUGCUUUCUUUAUCUGCCUAGAUGUUGUCCUUUUGUCCUGCUUAGCAUUCCCGUGUGUGCGAGUACAUCUAUACGUGAUGCGUCAACUUAUAACGAUCAAUAUGGUCAAACGCUUUCUUCAGUCGUUGUAUUUCUUUACGACGAUGAGUGAGGGCAUUUGGGGCAUAUUGAAUGUAAGGCAGAGAAAACUGAUCGUCUUCAUUUUUGCCAAUUUGUUUUUUUCUAUCACUGCCACUUUCUUCGUUGUUGUAUCGAAAUGGUGACGAGUGGUGCGAUCAGCACGCUGCUAACGUAAUGUUGCCGUUAACCGUGAAUGGAUUCGACUGCAAACGGGUAGCCAAACGUUUACAUUUAAAAAGGAAAUAUGCUAAAGACUAACACAACAAAGCAUGCCUGCACUGCUGACAGAGGCCAAUAAUAUAUUUUUGGUUGACUGUUAUAUACAUAGAUAUAUAUAUGCAUAGCAGCGACAAUUUAGGCGGUACUGGCCAUGGUAAACACGUUUCCUUUGUCUGUUCUGAUACUCGAACAUAUGUUUUGGAAUAACGGACUUAAUACGAUGCUGCUACAACCGCUUAAAUGGACACCCCGUGUCCUAAAUUUUCGUCUCAACGUCACUAACUGAAACUGCGUCGGUGUUCCUGGCCUGAUCGCUUAGAACGAUACAAUCACUUUCAUUACCCGUAUCGCUCGGACAGUUUAUUAUUACAUCCGUAGUACUUUUCCUUUAUUUUUUUUAUAUUUUACUGACGGCACCAACAUAAGAACGCUAUGAAGAGUUUGCUGUUGGUGCAAAGACGAACACUUGGGCGAUAUUAAUGUGCAAUUGUAUAUAUUUGCAGAUUGUAUUAAGCAUAUUAUACAGAAACAACAGAAUAUAUCAGAGUCAGACAUAAUGAAAUAGUAGUUCAUGUUGACUAGGUAAACUUACACAAAAGCUGAGCAGUCGUUUGAUUCUUUACAGAAUAAAUUGUGGCAGGUGUGGACGUUAGCAAACGCCCGUUUAUAUUUUUAUGAAAUGCAACCUCGUCUUUAUUCUGCCAUCUUUUAAUGCUAUUCGAUCCAGGAACAUAAUUCGGAUUGAACUAUACAGUAAAGUUUGCAACGGAUAAUUCAAGGAUGGAUGCACAUUAAUUUUGGAAUUAAAUUAACUUUUAAGCUUUCGAAUUAGAAGAAAUGGCAUAAUUACAAAUUUUGGAUUUCCAAAGUGUGACGACUGUGUCUAAUAUUCUGUCUCAGACUAGUUGUUCGGAUUGCGGUUACGGCUUUUCUGUAAAGCAAAAGACGAUAUUCGUCCAUUACUGAAAACGAGUUCACACUGACCUCAAUAUGGAAAUCUUCGCUAAGAUCAAUAAAGGAAACCCUUUAACGCAAUAUAAACGUUUGUCACUUCACCGUCUCAAAAAGCCACAGCGUUGGAUAUUCUCUAUUUCGAUUCAAGCAAUGCAGAUAAAAAGUGCCUAAAAGGUACAGCAAUCGUUCGUGAUCCAUUUGCUUCGACCUUUAGUGACCUCUCACUACGAGAUGGUAAGAGGAAUAUUCGUUUACCUUUUUUGUCGACUUGUCACAUCGCGACACGAGAGUCAUUGCGUCGUCUCUUAAUUAAAUGCUUUCUUUACCACACCUCCAUUCGGUGUCAAUAAUAUCCCUUUCUCUCCUAUCGUUUGGGUCGUAACGACCUUAUUGCUGAUAUAAACGCACUGCGGUGAUCCAUUCAAUGAACAAAAUCGAUAAAAUUAUCAAUAGCCAUAGUACAUCGUGUUCUACUAAUAGAAUUAUUGCGGGUUUACCUAAUGCACUGCGGCCAAGAAGAAACAUUUUGAAAUUAUCUGUGAGAAGUACCAUCCACUAUAGCAAUGCUAUCCAAUCGUAUCAACCGCAUAUAACAAGGAUGUUAAAUGUAAACGGAAGAUACCCUGUAACCGGCUUUGUAAGGAACUGGCUGAGACAGGAACAUCUUCGAAGGCUACUGUAGCUGACCGCAAGCCUUAAAUAACAACGAAUCCCACUUAUUGCGCCGAUGUCUCUACCAGACCUACUCAGACGAGGUACAAAAGUGCUCAUCGAAUCGCACCGUGAUGGACGUGGUCUGCGACCGUUGAUAUCGCUACGACAUUUAUGACGAGCUCAUUAUUUCCAGUGCCCAGUUCAACUCUUACGGGCACUGAAGCUGGGCUGAACAUUCGAAUGCCACCGCUGGCACAUACUUGCAGGCGACGACCCGUACCCCAUCGAUGCAAUAGUAAAGUAAGGAUGGGAAUUUGAGGCGCGAGAUUAGCUGAUCUUUUGCUGUUGACGCAUCUGGACUAGCGAGAAAUCGUCUUUUACAGAAACUGCACCUGCAAGCAUUUGUCGUUUAGAGCUUUAGGUCGACCCUGCUGCAGUGUCCAGGUUUCUGAUCACCCUCCAUCGCGUGGCGCCCCGGCGAAAUAUACGCAGUUCCUGCCAUAUAAUAACAUAAACGCAUCAGUCAGGUAAACUACUACGUGACUACUUGCUGGAGAAAGGUGGUAGCCAUGUCUCUUGGCGUUAAUUUCCACUUGGAUGAGAUGUCAUGGCCUAAAUCGCUUUAUGAACUUAAUCAGUUUCACCCGACUGUCACAGCCUAUAAAAAUCCGCUCCAACCGAAAUCGGGAGACUGAACACAUUUCGAAACCUUUUCUCUGCAGCAACACAAACAGUUCUGCUUUGAGCUUUAACUUCCUUUUACGCUAAUAACAGCUUAUAAUGGCAUGAAACUUAGAUGAGUGUUCAUUAUAGUAAUGGAACUAGCUAGCUCAGCGAAAAAUUUAUCAGCGAUUCAACAUUAUAUAUAUUCAAAUUCUACUGGCUUGUGCAAUUUAAAUGAUUCACCAUAUAUGCGUUGAUAUAACAGGAAGUACAAGCCCUACUUGAACAUGAGUCGAUUGCUGUCCUUACCUACUAAUUGAAAUUUUACGAAAAUUCCAAUUAGACGUUUCAAGGAAAAUUUAGCUUGCCGUAUUUUGCGAAAUGAGUAUAUCAUUCAGACAGUAAACACUUCGGCUUUGAGUUGGACUAAAUAAACGUAUGUUUACUAUUAGCGUCUGUCCAAAGUUUCGUGUAGCGUUAUUUCGAAAUUCAGAUAGAUAGAAUAUGAUUCUGUUUCGAAAUUCAGAAACGUCUACUCGAUAAAUACAGUUAAUCCAAUUAAGCCUAUCCAUCCUGAAUAGAAAGCCGCUGUAUAUCAUGUAACGUUUUGCAGUGUUAAUAAUAAUAAGCUAGUUCUACCAGUGCAGAGCCAAUAGUAGGCUGAGGUAGUAUAUUUCGAUUCGGAGAUUUUCUGGGGCUUUUUAAAGUAUCUAUGCGAAGCUAUCUGUCCCAUAAAUGAAAUCGGGAGUUUUUAUAGACGGAGUCGUCCAGCGCGAAUGAAAAGUAACAAAAAUUGUAAUGUAACAUAUAGUGUAGCAAUGAAUAAUAAUGUCGCUGACGGAUACACGGGUACAGUUUAGCUUGUAUGAGUUGCCGUCAGCUCAUUCUAAGGAUUACUGCCAUUAUUUAUUUCGAAAACGUACUGAACGGUCUUAGUUAAACUGGUUUGUCUCAUAUGAGUUACAUUUUGCAGAAUUUGUUUGAUAUCCAAUUAACCGUGUGCUGGCUAAUCGCAGAAAGAACGACUAGAAACUAUUUGAUCUAUUUUCUGACGGGCCUUCUGUAAUGUCAGGCCGAUAAAUUAACAUAUGUAUAUAUAAAUUAACCAGUUAUCACAACGAUGGCAAAACGAUCUCAAAAGCCAACAUCCCAAGGGAUUGUACAGUGAUUCGGGAAACAAUGUUUAUUUCAAGCUUUCCAGAGAACUUUGUGCAGUGUACUUAUACACUGUGGAAAUAUCGCAAUUGUUUUCCCAGUUUUCAGGUAUGACUACAGAUAAAUUAUUACAUGGAGUAAAAAGGCAAACUUAAAUAACUUAAAUGAUUGUAACAUGAACGAGAGUGGCUCGAGAAUCUCCUUGGCUUGAAGCAUGUCUUCAUUUCUCUCUAGCGGCGUUACCUUUUAAUCACAGUUAAUUAAACCCGAUCUAGACAAAUUGUCUCUGCGAACUAUGUGUGUUAUUCCCCUAAUAUGCCGCUUGUUGUCACUAGACGAAUUUUAAUAUUUUUAAUUGUGGAGAAAAUUUAUAUGCGGGACCUACUUCGCCAAAUGAGCCACUUUGCGUCAGAAAAUCGGUUCUAUUCGAACGCAUUAAAAGUGUCCACAGCGCGUAAACGCUAUUCAGAUAUCGGCCGCAUUUUUUCUCACUUUCUGCUAUCUUCCCAUCUUGGGCUUCUGCAGGUGCUUCAACCCCAGCACGCCUGCUGUCCGUUCGUUCAUCCACUUGAACCGCUGUUCACCCCGUUAGGCAUCGGUCCGUUGCGAUGCUUAAUUCGACAGCGUCUGACACCUUAAUAAUCUGUUUUUCUUUGUAGACUUCACCUUCAUUCAAGAACUUAGGUGAUGUGUUCCAACCAUGUAAGCAUAACUUUAUAACAAAACUAAUCGGCGAGAUGAAUCUGCAAUCGGUUCUUAACACAGUUUGCUGCUGGUGUGGAUAACGCUUUGACCGGAUCAAGCAGUGUCCGUUUGUGUUCGAAUCACAGCUGACAGAACAUAGAGCUAUUCUACGAAAUACGCACACCGGACACGCGUUUGCGUUUACUUAGAUAUUCAUGCAAAUUUAUUAUAUUUUAGAUACGUCGGUAUUUAGGCUGAAACAUUGAAUUUAGGAAAAACGCACGAAGCAAGAACGACUCAUAAUGGUGUUGUGGUAAAAUCUGAUAGUGAUAAUUGAAAUUGGACAGCUGUGCAAAGUAAAUAUGUUUCUAGAAUAAUUGCAGCGGGAGAUGUGAAGGACUUGAUAAAGGAUACGAGUAUUAUCGCUGAAAUUGAUCCAGUUGGUAAGAUCAUUUGCUCUGAUAGCGCUACCUUCCCGAAUGUUGAGAAGCAUGGGCGCUCUCUUUUUGAUAAGUACCAGCGGAACACAGCUAACUAAGCUGUUGCUACAAGUUCGAUAAUAACUUCACGGGUAGAAAAGUUCGUUCGAAGACGGGGUUUGCGGUGGGUGAGGGCUUUUUUGUCCUAAUAUGAUAAGGCUUAGAACAUUCGCAGCUUUUGUUGAAGAAUUUUUUUCUGUAAAAUGACAUGAUAUAUAGUUGCGUUAUCGAUUCCGCUUCUGUAAGUUUAAAAGAAUUUUUUUUUAAACAUCUUCAGCUGUUACAUCUACGUGUAACCUCCAUUUUGUAACACUUAGAUCCCUAUCUAUAUAGAAUCCCUAAAAAAAGUGAUCUGAAUUAGACCCUUUUCUCGAUCUUUAUGACCGAUUCGUAGGAUCUGGAACCUUGCAAACCUGGGAACCUUUGUAACUGAACAAACUAGUCCGAAGUGUUUAAUAUUUGCGUUUAAUGUCAAGGAGUUUGCUGGAGUCUAUCACUGAUUGGGAUAGAAUAAAGGCAUUAAAACACCAUAACUCAAAGGGCUUUAAGUCAAAAAUGAUACUUUAAAUACGCCUAAUAGACACAACGUAGCUGAUCUCUUCGUCUAUAAAUGAUAUUCUCAAAAAAGCAUACUUAGAAAUAAUCAUGUGCGGAAGACAGACGUUUGAAUAAGCAAUCUAAAUCAACCUUCAUUAGUGUAACCUCUAAAUCCCAACCUCUGUCGACUAGCGACAAAAUACAUGUGACCACUAUUUUUUUUUUAUUAAUUAGGUAUUUGAGAAAUAUUUGACAAUUUUUGAAUAGUUUAAUAAUCCAAACAAGAAAAAAUUAUAAUUAUUGAUAAUAAUGAGAUGGCCUCUUCGAACAUUGACAGGUAUUAUUUUUAAGAAAAGACGUUUUAUCUUACCGAAGCUUUAUAGAAUUGUUACCGGUUCGUUCCGCCAAUAUGAUGCUGUUAAUUUUAUUAAAUAAUUUCUCUUUCUUCUAAGUGGUUGAACCUCUGCGACGAAGAUUUUUUUGCAGUGGCACACAUUCGAGUGAGUUCUGACCCUGUAAACUAUCUGCUUAUUGACUGUACCUAGGCUAACCGUUGCCGUCCAUUGCGGUGAAUGGGCAAAAACUCAGCCAACGAGGUAAUGACAGGACCUGCCGUGUCGUAUUUUGUAUAUUCGAUCAUCUUAUGUUCAUGUUCAAUUCAUUCUAAACAACAAUUAGACGUUUAUCAUGGAUUGCACUAACUAGGAGUGGUAGGAAAUGCGGGUAAUUUGUCGUGGGAGCAGCCAUCAUUACAUUUGGCUAUUCCAACGUACUUUUACUCAAGGCUUGACGUAGUAGUCCUUAACGAUAAUCGUUGUAUACAAAUUUGAUAGAGCACGGUUCAAUUUAGUGAAAACAAUAAUCUUUGAGGAGAAGAUCGUUACGGGCCAGACGAUCGAAUCAUCCGAUCAUAUGUUAGAAUUGGUGUAAAUUAUGAGUCUGCUAUUCAGACAUAAUUUAAGAUUAUGGGUUGAAUAAUAAAUUGACAAAAGUCCUUAUCAAUACCAGACUACCUUUAUUUAUCAUACUGUUUCCCAGCUACUCAACAGGAACGGAAAGCUUCAUUCUCAUCCAAUUUGUCCUUUCUGCAGGCACUUUACUGUCGUAUUCGUUUACUGCACCGAAAAAGAUGUAGAUGAAUAGCCCUCAUCACAAAUGUUUUUUUAUUUGUUAUCUAAGUUUAUUCGCCGUACAAACAGCAAGAAAUACGACUAAAACAGCAGUGAACCCGAACCAAUGAAAAGUAAAGUCUUCGGCGUAUUUCUACCGGCAUUUCGCAUACACAUUAUUUAUUUUUAAAAAAUACCCACGGUGCUAUCGGCUGCUUGUGGAGCCUGACGCUGCCUCUCAGUCUCGAUAACCAGGGGUACGUGUCGAUAGAGAAUUGAGACAUCACCGCCUUUGGUCUGGUGCAGUGUAUUCUAGAGGGCUAUAUUUCUCGUGCGCCCGACACGGUGCAUAAUGAUUAACGGCAAGCGAUGCAAUUGUGCUUUAGUUUUCUAUGGAAUUAUACUGAUUCACCAUGGGCGGCAGCGGCUUCAGCGUCAGGUCAUAUCAUGCCCGCAUACAAAAAGACCACGUUGUAUAACUGCAACAGCUUGCCAGACCCGGAUCAACGUACGGGUCUGUACACCAGCAGUCUCGGUGGCGCGCGUAGUAAAUGUUGUACCAUGCAUCAUUCCGUCACGACAGUGGCAAGAAGAAGCAGUCAGGUGGAGAUGAAAGUGUCAAGCUAAACAGUGGAUAGCCGACAACUAAUAACGAAGCGAAACACGGCCAUCCGUCGACCGCUGCAGCGACUAACCAUUUAGCAUCGUUAAGUCCUGCGAUGAAUAACCCAUAAACCAGGACCAGUGACAA